UACGGAGGGUGCAAGCGUUGUUCGGAAUUACUGGGCGUAAAGGGCGCGUAGGCGGCCAAUUAAGUCAGGUGUGAAAGCCCACGGCUCAACCGUGGAUGGUCAUCUGAAACUGGUUGGCUUGAGUAUCGGAGAGGAAAGUGGAAUUCCCGGUGUAGAGGUGAAAUUCGUAGAUAUCGGGAGGAACACCAGUAGCGAAGGCGACUUUCUGGCCGAAUACUGACGCUGAGGCGCGAAAGCGUGGGGAGCAAACAGG
rnacentral:rRNA from 1 species